rnacentral:lncRNA from 1 species
GUAGUAUAUAAGAAGCUCUUCUCAAAUGACUCUUGCCCUCUGUGGCCGGGCUGUUUAGCAGCUGGUCUCACUGCUUAGGUUCCUAAAGCCUAGCUGUUACAGCGUCCUUGCUACAGAAAGAGAUCGUUGUCUGACCAGAGACAAAACUUACUUCUGUCUGGUAGCAGAGUACCUACAUUUGGCUUUCCAGAUCUCACCUCAGUUCCAGAUUCCUCUACAUUAAAAUCUUCGCCUGGGUUACAUCUUCUCUCAGGAUUGAAUAUCAACACUAUUGAAGACACCUCAUGUGACAUCACAAACAGCUUUCUUGGACUCUCCAGGGAGGUGGAGCAAGAUGGCUGAAUAGAAGCCUCCAGCAAUUGUCCCCCACUCACAGGAACACCAAAUUGAACAACUAUCCACACACAAAAAAAAGCACCUUCAUACAAAGAAAAAUCAGGCCUGGAACAGAUCAGCCUCCCUGCAGGAAUCAACUGAGAAAGAAUUAAUGACACUUUCGAAAGCUUUAAAUUCCAAUGAGAAAUUGAAGCCCUGGGAAUAUCUGCCUCAACAUUUUAUAGGGUGUAUGCCUGCAGUCAGUGAGAAGCACGAGGAUAUUCCGUUCCUUAUAUGUUCUGAGACAGCUGAUAACAGAAUGAAGGGGGAUUUUCUUAAAGCAUCCAUGACCCUAACAAGGAAACUGGAAGUUGCAUUCUAUUGAUCCAAGGCUAAGAAGGAAUUAAGUUGCCAUCAGAUCAAAUUCCGGCAAAGCGUCUGGAAGAGACAUGGCUUCAAAUCAAUGUUUUGAAAAAGAAAUUAAGAAUAUAUUCUUCAAAAACUUCUCAAGAUGGCCGAAGAGGAACAGCUCCGGUCUACAGCUCCCAGCGUGAGCGACGCAGAAGAAGGGUGAUUUCUGCAUUUCCACCUGAGAUACCGGCUUCAUCUCACUAGGGAGUGCCAGACAGUGGGCGCAGACCUGGUUGAAGAUAAUAUUGAUGAGUCUUAAAAAAAAAUGCCAGCAUUUCUACUCAUGUUUUAACAAAAAUUGGAGAGUCUAGAUUCACCCAUGAAAAGCUCUUCCUUCUCGGCUUCAAGACAUCCUAUAUAAAGGGGAAAGAAACAAACAAAAAGCUACUUCAAAGUUGAAGGAUUUGUGGAGAAUUCUUCAACUUACCCUCUCAGAGUACCUCCUGUACAACUCAAUUUAUAAAAUAAAACCUGUCAGAAAAUUCGAA